GAUGAAGAACGUAGUGAAAUGCGAUAAGUAAUGUGAAUUGCAGAAUUCCGUGAAUCAUCGAAUCUUUGAACGCACAUUGCGCCCUCUGGUAUUCCGGGGGGCAUGCCUGUUCGAGCGUCAUUUCACCACUCAAGCCUCGCUUGGUAUUGGGCAACGCGGUCCGCCGCGUGCCUCAAAUCGACCGGCUGGGUCUUCUGUCCCCUAAGCGUUGUGGAAACUAUUCGCUAAAGGGUGUUCGGGAGGCUACGCCGUAAAACAACCCCAUUUCUAAGGUUGACCUCGGAUCAGGUAGGGAUACCCGCUGAACUUAAGCAUAUCAAUAAGCGGAGGA
rnacentral:misc_RNA from 1 species